AUUUCUUGGGAGAGACAUCCAAUAAAAUUAAAACAAAUACAAAGAAGAUUAGCAUGACCCCUGCGCAAUGAUUACACGCACAAAUCAGAAAAGGGUCCAAAUUUU